rnacentral:sRNA from 1 species
CGCAGCGAGCUGGGAGCAGCGGUCGGCUGGGCUGUUGCGCUGCGCCUCCUCCAACUGCUGGGAAACUCCGCCCUUCAAUACUGGAGCAUCUCUUUCCUGGGCAGUUGACACUUACUUUGACAAAGGCAAAUUUGGAAGCAAUUACUUGAGGACAGUUCAUAUAGCAUCUGGACAGUCAACACGGGCACCAUGAAGCACUUCCUGAGUCCAUUUCCACAGAUGUUGGACGAUUUUGGCAAUCUUUUCAUUUGAACCAAAGAGAAGGUUAUGUAAGCAAAGCCUGAAUGAAUCAGGUGUUAAUUCCUGAGCUCAGCAAAUGUAUUAUGGAGAAUGAGGAGCUGACUUUCACUGGGAAGAAUUCAGCAUUAUUUAAAAGCCCACGCAGUGAUUAAUCUGUCAACUUCUGAGAUGCUCUAGAAUGAAAUGCUCAAUGCACAGUCCCAGAAGAAAUUAGGUUAACCUUAGAGAAACCAGAUUGUGGGAAAAAAUGGAUUUUGAUCCACAUUUAAGAUACAUGAUACCCAAUUGCUACCAUCAGAUAUAUUAAUGGUAUAAAUAUUCAGAGCAAAAAGGAAUAGAGAAAAUAUUCAAUGUAUGUCAAAAAUUACAUGAAAUAUAAGGAAUAAAUGCCAUUCGAUUA